rnacentral:lncRNA from 1 species
GUACUGCACAUACUUUCCAUUCGUUUAAAUCCUGAUUUCACAGAUGAAUUUAUGUAUAAUGCCAUGUGAAAGCAGAAGACUAGGCCAAGUCUAAGCUACAAAUUUCAGCAGACAUAAAAAGGAGUCUCUAAUGUACGCAGCGCCUUUUCUGAAGUUGACAGCAACAUCAUGAUUAUGUUUAUUACCAUCUCUCUAUGACAAUAACCAGUUGCUCACAAAUAUGCGUAAUUGAUGGAAAAAGGAGAAAUAUUCUUUGGAUGCUAUGCCGCCAGCUAUUUGCAUGGCACCACAGAUGUGUGUGGCACUCAGGAGUCUGAUCUGCAGUUCACAUCAGCUCUAAUCAGUCUGAGAGUAGCAUUCGGUAGAAACAAGAAGGACCACAAAACCUUUUGGUCUCUGGAAACCCACAGGGCAACCAUAUGUUUUUUACAACUGCAGAACUUGAGUUCAUCUCACUGGACAUUCUGGAGUACCAGUGGGACUUCCCUAACAAAUGUAAGAUGGAUCAUCUCUUCAUUUUUAUCCUCUAUCUAUCCCCAGCCAAUUGAGAAGUGCCACAGAAUGUGAGUUCUUCUUUGGCAUAAGAGACAGAAUAAACUGAAUGUCCU